AUUGAACGCCGGCGGCAUGCCUUACACAUGCAAGUCGAACGGUAACAGGUCUUCGGAUGCUGACGAGUGGCGAACGGGUGAGUAAUACAUCGGAACGUGCCUAGUAGUGGGGGAUAACUACUCGAAAGAGUGGCUAAUACCGCAUGAGAUCUACGGAUGAAAGCAGGGGAUCGCAAGACCUUGUGCUACUAGAGCGGCCGAUGGCAGAUUAGGUAGUUGGUGGGAUAAAAGCUUACCAAGCCGACGAUCUGUAGCUGGUCUGAGAGGACGAUCAGCCACACUGGGACUGAUACACGGCCCAGACUCCUACGGGAGGCAGCAGUGGGGAAUUUUGGACAAUGGGCGAAAGCCUGAUUCAGCAAUGCCGCGUGCAGGAUGAAGGCCUUCGGGUUGUAAACUGCUUUUGUACGGAACGAAAAGCCCCGGGUUAAUACCCUGGGGUCAUGACGGUACCGUAAGAAUAAGCACCGGCUAACUACGUGCCAGCCGCCGCAGUAA
rnacentral:rRNA from 1 species